ACCUGAGCCAAAAGCAGACGCUUAAUUGACUGAGCCACCCAGGUAUCCCUUCUUUUUCUUUUUUAACAGCCACCGGCCUCAUGGUAGAUGCAUAUAGAUGUUGAAUACUUUUUACUUGAAAGCUAUGUCAAGGAGUUUUGGCCUUCAUUAUCAUCUGCUGUUCAGUGGAAGUCUUUGAUGUUAUCCCUGAGCCACAGUUUGCCCUCUUACAUUCAGGCAACUGUUAAUCCCAGCAAGUGUCUUAAUGUUAAUGGAAACUCAACAGGAGCAAGACUCAUCAGCACCUUCAAAAGUCAGCAAUACCCGUCCUGCAGAUCCGGUAUUUCAGAGAAUAGCACUUGUAGGCAGUCAUCGGAGACCUCCUGCCUCCUCUUGUACGUGAGAACUGCAUCAGCCCAACACUCCACAAGGCAGGAGACCCUUGCCUGAAAUAAUCUCUACACGCAACAUGGAGCUCGAAUUUUACAACCCCAGACUGAGUUGCCUGCUCCACCAACCGAGCCAGCCGGGCGCCCCAGAUAGUGUCCCUCGUAGGCAGCUCUGUGUAUUGGAAGAUGCCCCGCUCUGUUGGGUACAUUUCCACUUCCUCCGUAUUCCAGCAGGAGGGAAAUGCAGUCGGGAUUGCCCCCUCCUGCUGCCUCGAACAACACUGAUGCGCCAUCAUCUGCCAGAGCAAAGACAUCACCACCUGGCAACAUAAACCACAUGGCAUGGUGCUGUGUGUGACCCAGUGGAAGGUCCUAAAAUGAAUAAAUAAGACUACCUGAAGCUGCUCAGGGGGGAAGUGAAACAAAAUAUCAUCAAAGAACACAAGCUGCGUGACAUUCAAGUGACAUCAGGACUAGGAGCCAUGAUGUAGAAGGAGGUCUGUGUUUGAAUUCUAGCUCUACGGCUGACUGGGAGGGCCUGGGCUAGCUACUUCUAUGAACAUCCACCCCUCGUCUGUAAACUAGAGUGAUGCUGUUUACUUUGUAGGGCCCAGAUGACAAUUCAAUGUGGUUGCAGGUGCGGGGCUGCAAAAAUGUUAACCUUUUCUCCAGAGAGGAACCUUGAGGGAGCAUAUGGCCCCAGCAUUUAUUUUCACUGGGGAAACUGAGGACCAGAAGUUUUACCGAGGCUAGGGUUGGACCGCAAGGAAGUGGUAGAAGCCAGUUUAAGAAUUUGGUGUCUUGGGGCGCCUGGGUGGCUCAGUGGGUUAAAGCCUCUGCCUUCGGCUCAGGUCAUGAUCCCAGGGUGCUGGGAUCCAGCUGCGCAUCGGGCUCUCUGCUCAGCAGGGAGCCUGCUUCCUCCUCUUUCUCUGCCUUCCUCUCUGCCCACUUGUGAUCUUUGUCUGUCAAAUAAAUAAAUUAAAAAAAAAAUCUUUAAAAAAACACACAAGGUGGGAGCUUGGAGUGGAUCCUGAACCAAAAAAAAAAAAAAAAAAAAAAAAAAAAGAAUUUGGUCUCUUAAUUCUUGGUUCUGCCCUUGGAGGGCUCAAAGGAGGGCAACGUCACAAGCUGUUGGGAGAAUGAAGAAAGGCUUUAGGAAGGAGGCGUCUCAAGAGAGUGAGUUAUGUUGGAGAAUAUUCCAGAUGAGGGGAAGGGCCUGGUGCAAGGCCAGACAGAGGGAAUGUGGGUAUAUUCUGGAAUCCUGCUGGUCUCGUGCAGCUGGGGUACAGGACACAUGUUGAGCGUAGUGAGGGACAGACCCAGAAAAACAAUUUGGGAUGAAGCAGUGGGGCUCUGUGUGUGACUCCUGAGUUUUCUGAGUGCACUGUUGUAGCUGUCUGUCCCAGGGGACAACCGAGUGGCAACACAUCCCGUGGAUUCUCUGACGGGGAGUCCGGAAAUGGGCAGCAUGGUGAGGAAAGGACUGCCCUGGUCCAGGGAAGAUGCGGGGAACCUGCCCAGUAUGAAACCAAUGGGGCUGUCAUGGUACCAGCAGGAGGGAGAGACACCGUGGGACUCGGCAAUUGACUGAAUUUGGAAAGGAAGGCGAUGGAGGGCGUAGAACUAAAUCUAGGCACUCAGUCUUGGUUGAGAGCGAUUAUUAUGUCAAAAGCGUGAAAGAAGAGGAACUCUGCUUUGGAGAAGCUAAGUGUGGGGCGCUGGCAAGCUGUGUCUGUGGGGCUGAGCCAUCUCUAGAGAGAGUAGCCAGGGUGACCACGCAGACUGGUAAGUCGGGAUGUAGAGGGUGUAACUGAGUCGCGGAACAUGGGGCUUUCAAGGGGGCCCCUGGGGGGGGCAGGGUACCAAAGCCUACUGCCCAGUUACACCCAGGAGAGGAAGGGAAGCCGAGGAGGGAUGGAGAGAAGGAAAUCGAGAGACAGGAGAAUCAUCAAGAACGUGUGAUUCCUUUUCCCGUACCUCUG